rnacentral:rRNA from 1 species
UACGUAGGGCGCAAGCGUUAUCCGGAAUUAUUGGGCGUAAAGAGCUCGUAGGCGGUUUGUCGCGUCUGCCGUGAAAGUCCGGGGCUCAACUCCGGAUCUGCGGUGGGUACGGGCAGACUAGAGUGAUGUAGGGGGAGACUGGAAUUCCUGGUGUAGCGGUGAAAUGCGCAGGUAUCAGGAGGAACACCGAUGGCGAAGGCAGGUCUCUGGGCCGAUACUGACGCUGAGGAGCGAAAGCCAGGGGAGCAAACGGG